rnacentral:rRNA from 1 species
GCCAGCCCGCUCAGAACUUAAAUGAAUUGACGGGGGCCCGCACAAGCGGUGGAGUAUGUGGUUUAAUUCGAUGCAACGCGAAGAACCUUACCUGGUCUUGACAUCCCGGAGACCCUUAGGAAACUAGGGGGUGCUUCCAUCUGGAAGAAUCUGGAGACAGGUGCUGCAUGGCUGUCGUCAGCUCGUGUCGUGAGAUGUUGGGUUAAGUCCCGCAACGAGCGCAACCCUUGCCUUUAGUUGCCAGCAGUUCGGCUGGGCACUCUAAAGGGACUGCCGGUGUUAAACCGGAGGAAGGUGGGGAUGACGUCAAGUCCUCAUGGCCUUUAUGACCAGGGCUACACACGUACUACAAUGGCCGAUACAAAGGGCAGCGACACUGCGAGGUGAAGCCAAUCCCGUAAAAUCGGUCUCAGUCCGGAUUGGAGUCUGCAACUCGACUCCAUGAAGUUGGAAUCGCUAGUAAUCGUGGACCAGCAUGCCACGGUGAAUACGUUCCCGGGCCUU